GACGAAGGAUGCAAGCGUUAUCCGGAUUCAUUGGGUUUAAAGGGAGCGUAGGCGGCCUUGUAAGUCAGUGGUGAAAUCUCUGGCUUAACUCAGAAAUUGCCAUUGAUACUGCAGGGCUUGAGUACAGUUGCCGUUGGCGGAAUAUGACAUGUAGUGGUGAAAUACAUAGAGAUGUCAUAGAACACCGAUUGCGAAGGCAGCUAACGAAACUGUAACUGACGCUGAGGCUCGAAAGUGUGGGGUAGUC
rnacentral:rRNA from 1 species